rnacentral:rRNA from 1 species
UACGUAGGGUGCGAGCGUUGUCCGGAAUUAUUGGGCGUAAAGAGCUUGUAGGUGGUUUGUCGCGUCUGCUGUGAAAUCCGAGGCUCAACCUCGCGCCUGCAGUGGGUACGGGCAGACUGGAGUGGCGGUAGGGGAGAUUGGAAUUCCUGGUGUAGCGGUGGAAUGCGCAGAUAUCAGGAGGAACACCGAUGGCGAAGGCAGGUCUCUGGGCCACUACUGACGCUGAGAAGCGAAAGCAUGGGGAGCGAACAGG